AGAGUUUGAUCAUGGCUCAGAAUGAACGCUGGCGGCGUGCUUAACACAUGCAAGUCGAACGAGAAAGGGAUUGCUUGCAAUCCUGAGUAGAGUGGCGCACGGGUGAGUAACACGUAGAUAAUCUACCUUCAAGCCCGGGAUAACUAUUCGAAAGGAUAGCUAAUACCGGAUAAAGUUAUCUGGCAUAAGUCAGAUUAUGAAAGAUUGCCUCUUCUUGAAAGCAAUUGUUUGGAGAUGAGUCUGCGGACCAUUAGUUUGUUGGUGGGGUAAAGGCCUACCAAGACUGCGAUGGUUAGCUGGUCUGAGAGGAUGAUCAGUCACACUGGAACUGGAACACGGUCCAGACUCCUACGGGAGGCAGCAGUGAGGAAUUUUGCGCAAUGGGGGCAACCCUGACGCAGCAACGCCGCGUGAGUGAAGAAGGCCUUUGGGUCGUAAAGCUCUGUCGACAGGGAAGAAAUUGUUACAUAUUAAUAGUAUGUUUCAUUGACGGUACCUGUAGAGGAAGCACCGGCUAACUCCGUGCCAGCAGCCGCAGUAAUACGGGGGGUGCAAGCGUUAUUCGGAAUUAUUGGGCGUAAAGGGCGCGUAGGCGGUCUUGUCGGUCAGAUGUGAAAGCCCGGGGCUCAACCCUGGAAGUGCAUUUGAAACAGCAAGACUUGAGUACGGGAGAGGAGAGCGGAAUUCCUGGUGUAGAGGUGAAAUUCGUAGAUAUCAGGAGGAACACCGAUGGCGAAGGCAGCUCUCUGGACCGAUACUGACGCUGAGGCGCGAAGGCGUGGGUAGCGAACAGGAUUAGAUACCCUGGUAGUCCACGCAGUAAACGUUGUUCACUCGGUGUAGCGGGUAUUAAAAUCUGCUGUGCCCUAGCUAACGCAGUAAGUGAACCGCCUGGGGAGUACGGUCGCAAGACUAAAACUCAAAUGAAUUGACGG
rnacentral:rRNA from 1 species